UUCUUGAAUGAAAUGCAGAGCAAGAAAUAGUAAUAUUAUCGUGCAACACGCACUUGGAGGAAUAAACAUGAAUCAAGGUACAGUAAAAUGGUUUAACGCAGAAAAAGGUUUCGGUUUCAUCGAAGUAGAAGGUCAAGACGAUGUAUUCGUUCACUUCUCUGCCAUUCAAGAAGAAGGUUUCAAAACUCUAGAAGAAGGUCAAACUGUUACAUUCGACAUCGUUGAAGGUAACCGUGGACCACAAGCUGACAACGUAGUUAAGAACUAAUUACGUUUAUUAGCAAAAAAAGCUCUUCCCUUUUGGGAAGAGCUUUUUU
rnacentral:other from 1 species